UUCCGCAUUUCCGGCGGCCUACACAUGCAGUCGAGCGGUAGCACAGAGAGCUUGCUCUCGGGUGACGAGCGGCGGACGGGUGAGUAAUGUCUGGGAAACUGCCUGAUGGAGGGGGAUAACUACUGGAAACGGUAGCUAAUACCGCAUAACGUCGCAAGACCAAAGUGGGGGACCUUCGGGCCUCAUGCCAUCAGAUGUGCCCAGAUGGGAUUAGCUGGUAGGUGGGGUAACGGCUCACCUAGGCGACGAUCCCUAGCUGGUCUGAGAGGAUGACCAGCCACACUGGAACUGAGACACGGUCCAGACUCCUACGGGAGGCAGCAGUGGGGAAUAUUGCACAAUGGGCGCAAGCCUGAUGCAGCCAUGCCGCGUGUGUGAAGAAGGCCUUCGGGUUGUAAAGCACUUUCAGCGGGGAGGAAGGCGGUGAGGUUAAUAACCUCAUCGAUUGACGUUACCCGCAGAAGAAGCACCGGCUAACUCCGUGCCAGCAGCCGCGGUAAUACGGAGGGUGCAAGCGUUAAUCGGAAUUACUGGGCGUAAAGCGCACGCAGGCGGUCUGUCAAGUCGGAUGUGAAAUCCCCGGGCUCAACCUGGGAACUGCAUUCGAAACUGGCAGGCUAGAGUCUUGUAGAGGGGGGUAGAAUUCCAGGUGUAGCGGUGAAAUGCGUAGAGAUCUGGAGGAAUACCGGUGGCGAAGGCGGCCCCCUGGACAAAGACUGACGCUCAGGUGCGAAAGCGUGGGGAGCAAACAGGAUUAGAUACCCUGGUAGUCCACGCUGUAAACGAUGUCGAUUUGGAGGUUGUGCCCUUGAGGCGUGGCUUCCGGAGCUAACGCGUUAAAUCGACCGCCUGGGGAGUACGGCCGCAAGGUUAAAACUCAAAUGAAUUGACGGGGGCCCGCACAAGCGGUGGAGCAUGUGGUUUAAUUCGAUGCAACGCGAAGAACCUUACCUGGUCUUGACAUCCACAGAACUUUCCAGAGAUGGAUUGGUGCCUUCGGGAACUGUGAGACAGGUGCUGCAUGGCUGUCGUCAGCUCGUGUUGUGAAAUGUUGGGUUAAGUCCCGCAACGAGCGCAACCCUUAUCCUUUGUUGCCAGCGGUCAGGCCGGGAACUCAAAGGAGACUGCCAGUGAUAAACUGGAGGAAGGUGGGGAUGACGUCAAGUCAUCAUGGCCCUUACGACCAGGGCUACACACGUGCUACAAUGGCAUAUACAAAGAGAAGCGACCUCGCGAGAGCAAGCGGACCUCAUAAAGUAUGUCGUAGUCCGGAUUGGAGUCUGCAACUCGACUCCAUGAAGUCGGAAUCGCUAGUAAUCGUAGAUCAGAAUGCUACGGUGAAUACGUUCCCGGGCCUUGUACACACCGCCCGUCACACCAUGGGAGUGGGUUGCAAAAGAAGUAGGUAGCUUAACCUUCGGGAGGGCGCUACCACUUUUAUUAUUGGUCG
rnacentral:rRNA from 1 species